GCAGAAUGACAGUUAAUUCAUCUUGACAGAGCUCAGCCAUCGAGGUCCCAACCCCUCUUGUAACAAUGAAGCAACAAAGAAUCCCAAGAACACUUUAAGCACCUGAACUCAUGAGCUGAAGCCUGGACUGCUGCUACUGCUCUUCACCACCAGAGUGCAGUAUUCUAAUGAUUAAGAACACCGCCCCUUUAAGUCCUCUGACAAAUAUAUUUAUAUAUUUUAAA